AUUGAACGCUGGCGGCAGGCUUAACACAUGCAAGUCGAGCGGAGCGAUGGUGCUUGCACUAUCACUUAGCGGCGGACGGGUGAGUAAUGCUUAGGAAUCUGCCUACUAGUGGGGGACAACAUCUCGAAAGGGAUGCUAAUACCGCAUACGUCCUACGGGAGAAAGCAGGGGAUCACUUGUGACCUUGCGCUAAUAGAUGAGCCUAAGUCGGAUUAGCUAGUUGGUGGGGUAAAGGCCUACCAAGUCGACGAUCUGUAGCGGAUCUGAGAGGAUGAUCCGCCACACUGGGACUGAGACACGGCCCAGACUCCUACGUGAGGCAGCAGUGGGGAAUAUUGGACAAUGGGGGGAACCCUGAUCCAGCCAUGCCGCGUGUGUGAAGAAGGCCUUAUGGUUGUAAAGCACUUUAAGCGAGGAGGAGGCUCUUUUGGUUAAUACCCAAGAUGAGUGGACGUUACUCGCAGAAUAAGCACCGGCUAACUCUGUGCCAGCCGCCGCCGUAACAC
rnacentral:rRNA from 1 species